rnacentral:rRNA from 1 species
UCCUACGGGAAGGCAGCAGCAGGGAAUAUUGCACAAUGGGCGAAAGCCUGAUGCAGCGACACCGCGUGCGGGAUGAAGGCCUUCGGGUUGUAAACCGCUUUCAGGAGGGACGAAAAUGACGGUACCUCCAGAAGAAGGCCCGGCCAACUACGUGCCAGCAGCCGCGGUAAUACGUAGGGGCCAAACGUUGUCCGGAUUUAUUGGGCGUAAAGGGCUCGUAGGCGGUUCAACAAGUCGGUCGUGAAAGCCCGGGGCUCAACCCCGGGACGCCGGUCGAAACUGUUGUGACUAGGGUCCGGUAGAGGUGAGUGGAAUUCUCGGUGUAGCGGUGGAAUGCGCAGAUAUCGAGAGGAACACCAGUAGCGAAGGCGGCUCACUGGGCCGGUACCGACGCUGAGGAGCGAAAGCAUGGGGAGCAAACAGGAUUAGAUACCCUGGUAGUCCAUGCCGUAAACGAUGAACACUAGGUGUGGCGGACUCAUUGACGUCUGCCGUGCCGAAGCUAACGCAUUAAGUGUUCCGCCUGGGGAGUACGGCCGCAAGGCUAAAACUCAAAGGAAUUGACGGA